GGUUGGCACCAGUUUUAAAUCAUUUAGCAGUCUUUUAGGCCUCAUAGAACCAUAUACGUACACUUGAGGUCAAUCUCACAAUUGUCCGGGGAGACACGAGAAAGGAGACUCAGAAUGUAUCAAGCAAAUCGGUCCAUCUAGGAUUUGACGAUCGCAAAAAUUAACGCAAUAGCAAGCUAACUGUGAUAUUGGGAGGAGCUUGCAAGUAUUCAGAAUUACCACAGAUUUUCUGUCGAUUUGGGUCAAGACGCUUUGUGUGACAUCAUCACAACACUCAUUGGUCCAAAGCACUCUGCGAUGAGUACAGGUAUCAUAGACAGGAAAUGCAUAUGUGACUACACUAGUAGAAGUGUGAAGAAAAACCCUGUGAUUGAAAUUUUGCCAAAUCAAGUAAUUUAUGUGGGGAAAAUUGCAUCGCCAAUUUUAUAAAAACUGAAAGACAUUUUUGUCCACAACACCUCACAAAAAAUAUAUACAUAUAUACAAAAUCCUGGAGGGACUGAGAAAUUGCAUAAAAUCCAAUUGCAUAGCAAGAAUGAAGCAACACAUACAACAGGGCACAAACAACUAUCCACAUGAGACACAGAUCAGAUGAACACAUACAGUAGAAUAAUGUCAUGAUAAGACGAAAACCAAAAGAAAAGCAAAAGAACUCAAACCUCAAAUCAAACCUAGACAAAGGCAGCUGGGAAAUGAGCUGCACACUGAGAUGGAAGAUUAGUGACAAUGUGGCUGUCAUGAAUUCCUUAUUUUAUUUGUAUUUUUUUAUCUUAUCCAUCCAUUGUCAAUGCUAAAUGAGUGAUAUUUCAACAACACAAAGCACAAUCAUCUAGUAGAGAUUAUAAAUCAAUCUCUUUAGGCCUCUGAAAGAAUGAUGACUCCGUUGAUCGAUCGUUGUGGGGAUAGGAACGGCCGGGUGGCUGGUGAUAUAUAGACACAUCGAGAAAUGGCGAGUUCGAAAAGAGACAGCAGUGCUGAAGUGAAGUACAUUAAAAACACUGGUAUGAUAUGACUCUGGUCAGGAACAGUGAGGCAAAUGUAAUUUUGAAAGAAAGCCUGAGCAAUAAUGGAAAAGAGACAUAAAACUAUGAAUGUAGUUCUAACUGGAGCAUGGAGGGACCUGAGCGAUCGAGCAUGAUGACCCCAUACACAUGACAGAUGAGGAAGUCAAAGAAAUUCAGAGGCACAAUCAAACAAAAGCCACAGAGAGCCGUUUUUUUUUUUUUUGUUUUUUUUUUCAAAACUAUCAGCACCUGCAUGGCUGUUUUUCUUCGGUCGCAAUCACUCCAUGCUCGAUAUUUUCUGCCAAUAAAACUGGAGUGCUCUGGUUAUGUCAAUGUCUGCAAGAUGGAACCUAUUACAGACUACAGUGUCACCAAAACAACACUGCUUUAUUUGACAGGUUUCCAUUCCAAGCUCUUUUGUAACUUUAAGAAUUACGGAUAAGUUUGGCUUUGCUAAAUAAACUCCAAGGAGCUACUGUUGACUUCACACUUACACUCAUUUUAAUUUGAUUAAGGGACAUUAUAAAUCAUGAAGAGUGAUGAAGAUUGUACGUGUAAAGCCAACACCGGUUCCUUAAAGUUUAUACUGUAUGUUUCCAUGCAUUACCCUUGUAAAAAGCCUUUAGAGGUUGAAAUGGUAAUGCACACAAAAAAGGUUAUGUAUAUAAUUAAUUAGUAAUUAAUAAAGAGGAUUCUAUUUAUAUAAAGUACUGUAGUCCAAUCAACCAUACCAUUAAGCACGACUAAUUAUUGAUUGAUUGUCUUGUUAGAGUGUUUAUUAGCCAGCAAGUGAACAGUUAUUUCUCAAAGUUGUGCUGGAAAAAGAACCAGAUUAUGAUGGUUGCAUGAUCAGAGCAUCUCUAAAAACAGCAAAUCUUGUGGGGUUAUUCCCAAUAUGCAGUUGGUAGUACCUACCAAAAUGACAGAGAGCUGGUGAACAGAGUUAACAAAGUAAUCAGGGCUCAUUGAUGGAAGUGGGUACUAAAGGCUAGUCCGCCUCAUCCGAUCUCACAGAAGAACGAGCUGGUGAAGGCUGUAUUGUGCUCUUUGCAAUGUUCUGCUUGGAAACUGGGAGUGAAACCCCUUCAUUGCAACAGCACUCCAAGGUAUGGUUUGAGCAACAUAACAAAAAUCACAAAUUCCCCAGAUCUCAAUCUGAUUUGCCAGACAACCAAGUCUGAUCCAUUGAAGCUCCACCUCCUCGCAACCUAUAGGAUUUAAAAAAUCUGCUGCUAACAUCUUUGUGCUAGAUACAGAUACGCACACCUUCAGAGGUCCUGUGGAGUCCAUGAUUUGACAGGUCAGAGCACCAAGUGCACAAUAUUAAGCAGUUGGUUAUAAUUUUAUGACUUAUCAGUGCAUAAGGUAUUUAGUUUAUUCAUUAAGUGAAAAAUUUGUGUAGUUAAGAUCAACAACAUUUAAUGUAAAAGUAUAAACAGAAAGCUCUAGCCUAGUAAGACUACAGACUAGUAAGUCAGCCUUCAUCAAGUGAAGGACAAUAACACACAUUAGGGAAAAAAAACUAUAGCUUUAUAUCUAUAUUUUUUAUCUAUACUUGUGCUGGGUAUUAAAAGUAGUCACUUUAUGUAGGCUUAUGUCUAUUAGAUAAAGUUUUAAGAAAAUAUUUAAGGGAAAGUUUAUCAGUUGGUCCAGGAUUUUAGGUCAAAGAGGACAAAAUAUUUGUGUUUGAAAACAUCAAGCUGUGAAAUGACGUACAGCGGAAAAUGUUUACUGUAUGUUUUGUUGCUGCCUGUCAGACAGAUGAUAAAUGGCAUACAUCUGAUAGAUAGCACAGUGAAUUUUAGAGGUCUUCUUCCCUCAUCUAUUACUGUCAGGCCACCCCAUCAACCCUGUCUGUCUUCCUCUCCUUCUGAUUCUUAGUGUCUCUGAGUUUCUUAUUUAUGAAGCUUUUAAGAAUAGAAGACACAAAGUGUGAUUCCCCUUACACACCGUCUGUGCCAGGAACAACCUUGCCUGACCGUCACUUUUCAGAGAACUAUGUCACGAAACAUGGGUUUAGGUUAACGUCCGACUGUCUGAGAUGUUUCUCAGGAAAUAUGUCAAUAACGCAAUUACUCAGUAACACCUGUAGCAGCUGAGGUCAAAACGUUGCUGGGGAAAUAUGCAAUAAGUGUGUAUGUCAAGGUCGAGGUAGCUCUGAUUUGCAAUGCAAAUUAAAAAAAUAAUAAUAUUUGAAUAAAUAAUAUUUGCAUAGGCAUUUUAACCUAUUCCCCGUAAUCCUGCAAUAAAUGCUCUUAGCGCCUGACCUUGGGGUAUAUUUACACUGGGCAAUCAUUUGCUCCAUCUGUCUCUUUGCAUUCAUGUUGCUGUUCUCUCUGAGUACACAGAUAAAGAUGCUGGUCAAACUGUCUUCACAGAUGUCCGAGGUCCUCGUACGUCUUCUGCAUACUCCUCUUUCCUCGCUGCUACAAUCAGCAAUGCAUGUUUAUGGAUGAAGAAAAAUCAUGCGUGACAAGCGCAGGCUAACAACUAGCAUUUUUGAAAGCACAGACGUGAAUAUCAUGAAGAUUUUUAAAGUGUGAAAAGAGGUGUGUUAUGCUGACGAGCUUAAAAAAAAUACAUAUAUAUAAAAUUAUACACACACACA